GACGGACGCUGGCGGCGUGCUUAACACAUGCAAGUCGAACGGAAAGGCCCCAGCUUGCUGGGGUACUCGAGUGGCGAACGGGUGAGUAACACGUGGGUGAUCUGCCCUGCACUCUGGGAUAAGCCUGGGAAACUGGGUCUAAUGCCGGAUAGGACCGUGCUUUAGUGUGUGCGGUGGAAAGUUUUUCGGUGCAGGAUGAGCCCGCGGCCUAUCAGCUUGUUGGUGGGGUAAUGGCCUACCAAGGCGGCGACGGGUAGCCGGCCUGAGAGGGUGUACGGCCACAUUGGGACUGAGACACGGCCCAGACUCCUACGGGAGGCAGCAGUGGGGAAUAUUGCACAAUGGGCGCAAGCCUGAUGCAGCGACGCCGCGUGGGGGAUGACGGCCUUCGGGUUGUAAACCCCUUUCGGCAGGGACGAAGCUUUUGUGACGGUACCUGCAUAAGAAGCACCGGCUAACUACGUG
rnacentral:rRNA from 1 species